UCAAGUAAGGUGAACGAUUUUGCUGUGUUUAAUUUAUACAAAAUGUCUCUUUAAAGUUUCAUUAACUCAAAAUCUUUCAGCCCAGUGAUUUUGCGUGUGACGUCAUCCAGGUUCACGUACGUUCUCGUGCUUCAUUCGUUUUUUCAAGAUGGCGGAUCGGCCUCGCUUCACACUACAAAUUGAAGGUCGGUUGUUGCUGACUACAGAAAGAUUCUUAUAUGGAGGCAUGUAAAAGCAAGGAAAGUGAAACUUCAGCUAGACCUUGAGUUCAGUUUACAAUAUGAAGAUCCUGAUAUCAACAUCUGAUCUGAUCAACACCUGAUUUUCAUCUGAGCUGCAGAGUACCAACAUGUUACAAAUGAGAAUUUUCCCCACAAAUUCUUUGGACAACCGCACCACCACCAAUUUCAUUUGAUGA